CCAGCAGCCGCGGUAAUUCCAGCUCCAAUAGCGUAUAUUAAAGUUGUUGCAGUUAAAAAGCUCGUAGUUGGACCUUGGACCUGGACGGGCGGUCCGCCUCACGGCGUGUACUGUCUGGCUGGGUCUUUCCUCUUGGUGAUCUGUUGUUUCGGCAGCAGGGAACCAGGACCUUUACUUUGAAAAAAUUAGAGUGUUCAAAGCAGGCUUUACGCCGGAAUAUAUUAGCAUGGAAUAAUAAAAUAGGACGUGCGGUUCUAUUUUGUUGGUUUUUGGAAUCGCCGUAAUGAUUAAUAGGGAUAGUCGGGGGCAUUAGUACUCACAUGCUAGAGGUGAAAUUCUUGGAUUUUGUGAAGACUAACUACUGCGAAAGCAUUUGCCAAGGAUGUUU
rnacentral:rRNA from 1 species